GAGUAAUGCCUAGGGANCUGCCCAGUCGAGGGGGAUAACAGUUGGAAACGACUGCUAAUACCGCAUACGCCCUACGGGGGAAAGGAGGGGCUCUUCGGACCUUUCGCGAUUGGAUGUACCUAGGUGGGAUUAGCUUGUUGGUGAGGUAAGAGCUCACCAAGGCGACGAUCCCUAGCUGUUCUGAGAGGAUGAUCAGCCACACUGGGACUGAGACACGGCCCAGACUCCUACGGGAG
rnacentral:rRNA from 1 species